rnacentral:rRNA from 1 species
ACUCCUACGGGAGGCAGCAGUGGGGAAUAUUGCACAAUGGGCGAAAGCCUGAUGCAGCGACGCCGCGUGAGGGAUGACGGCCUUCGGGUUGUAAACCUCUUUCAGCACGGAAGAAGCGAAAGUGACGGUACGUGCAGAAGAAGCGCCGGCUAACUACGUGCCAGCAGCCGCGGUAAUACGUAGGGCGCAAGCGUUGUCCGGAAUUUAUUGGGCGUAAAGAGCUCGUAGGCGGUUUGUCGCGUCUGCUGUGAAAGCCCGGGGCUUAACCCCGGGUGUGCAGUGGGUACGGGCAGACUUGAGUGCAGUAGGGGAGACUGGAAUUCCUGGUGUAGCGGUGAAAUGCGCAGAUAUCAGGAGGAACACCGAUGGCGAAGGCAGGUCUCUGGGCUGUUACUGACGCUGAGGAGCGAAAGCAUGGGGAGCGAACAGGAUUAGAUACCCUGGUAGGAUAGCG